UAACACGUGGGUAACCUGCCUUAUAUGGGGGAUAGCCUUUCGAAAGGAAGAUUAAUACCGCAUAAGAUUGUAGUAUCGCAUGAUAUAGCAAUUAAAGGAGCAAUUCGCUAUAAGAUGGACCCGCGUCGCAUUAGCUAGUUGGUGAGGUAAUGGCUCACCAAGGCGACGAUGCGUAGCCGACCUGAGAGGGUGAUCGGCCACAUUGGGACUGAGACACGGCCCAGACUCCUACGGGAGGCAGCAUG
rnacentral:rRNA from 1 species